rnacentral:rRNA from 1 species
UAGGGAAUCUUCCACAAUGGACGCAAGUCUGAUGGAGCAACGCCGCGUGAGUGAAGAAGGUCUUCGGAUCGUAAAGCUCUGUUGUUGGUGAAGAAGGAUAGAGGCAGUAACUGGUCUUUAUUUGACGGUAAUCAACCAGAAAGUCACGGCUAACUACGUGCCAGCAGCCGCGGUAAUACGUAGGUGGCAAGCGUUGUCCGGAUUUAUUGGGCGUAAAGCGAGCGCAGGCGGAAUGAUAAGUCUGAUGUGAAAGCCCACGGCUCAACCGUGGAACUGCAUCGGAAACUGUCAUUCUUGAGUGCAGAAGAGGAGAGUAGGAACUCCAUG